GACGAACGCUGGCGGCGUGCCUAAUACAUGCAAGUCGUGCGGACCUUGUUGAAAGCUUGCUUUUAAAAGGUUAGCGGCGGACGGGUGAGUAACACGUGGGCAACCUGCCUGUAAGACUGGGAUAACGCCGGGAAACCGGGGCUAAUACCAGAUCGUUUUUUCCUCCGCAUGGAGGAAAAAGGAAAGGCGGCUUCGGCUGCCACUUACAGAUGGGCCCGCGGCGCAUUAGCUAGUUGGCGGGGUAAUGGCCCACCAAGGCAACGAUGCGUAGCCGACCUGAGAGGGUGAUCGGCCACAUUGGGACUGAGACACGGCCCAAACUCCUACGGGAGGCAGCAGUAGGGAAUCUUCCGCAAUGGACGAAAGUCUGACGGAGCAACGCCGCGUGAGUGAAGAAGGCCUUCGGGUCGUAAAACUCUGUUGCCGGGGAAGAACAAGUGCCGUUCGAACAGGGCGGCGCCCUGACGGUACCCGGCCAGAAAGCCACGGCUAACUACGUG
rnacentral:rRNA from 1 species